rnacentral:rRNA from 1 species
AAUCUUCCACAAUGGGCGAAAGCCUGAUGGAGCAACGCCGCGUGAGUGAAGAAGGAUNNNGGUUCNGCAAACACUGUUGUAAGNGACNAACAAGUACAGUCGUAACUGGCUGUACCUCGACGGUACCGUACUAGAAAGCCACGGCUAACUACGUGCCAGCAGCCGCGGUAAUCCGUAGGUGGCAAGCGUUGCCCGGAAUUAUUGGGCGUAAAGCGCGGGCAGGUGGUUUCAUAAGUCGGAUGUGAAAGCCCACGGCUCAACCGUGGAGGGUCAUUGGAAACUGGGAGACUUGAGUGCAGGAGAGGAUAGUAGAAUUCCAAGUGUAGCGGUGAAAUGCGUAGAGAUUUGGAGGAACACCAGUGGCGAAGGCGACUAUCUGGUCUGUAACUGACACUGAGGCGCGAAAGCGUGGGGAGCAAACA